AACGAACGCUGGCGGCAGGCUUAACACAUGCAAGUCGAACGCCCCGCAAGGGGAGUGGCAGACGGGUGAGUAACACGUGGGAACGUGCCCUUCGCUUCGGGAUAGCCUCGGGGAAACUGGGAGUAAUACCGAAUACGCCGUAUUGGGAAAGAUAUAUCGACGAAGGAUCGGCCCGCGUUGGAUUAGCUAGUUGGCGGUGUAAUGGACCACCAAGGCUACGAUCCAUAGCUGGUCUGAGAGGACGACCAGCCACACUGGGACUGAGACACGGCCCAGACUCCUACGGGAGGCAGCAGUGGGGAGUCUUGGACAAUGGGCGCAAGCCUGAUCCAGCCAUGCCGCGUGAGUGAAGAAGGCCUUAGGGUUGUAAAACUCUUUCGCCGGUGAAGAUAAUGACGGUAACCGGAGAAGAAGCCCCGGCUAACUUCGUGCCAGCAGCCGCGGUAAU
rnacentral:rRNA from 1 species